GGAGUGCUGGUGGUGCCCUCCGCUGUGUCUGACAGGCGGGGGUGGGGGGGGCAGAUCUGUGACCUCCUGAUGACCUGGCUGAGGGGACGAAUACUGAUCUUUAUUCAUCAAUGCAUUCAUGACGUGUUUCACUCAGUUAAGGACCUGGCCCGGUGGACGGACGGCGGAUGCCGGGAGUGCGAAUGCCGCGGCGCCCGGGUGACUUGCUACCUGCGCUCCUGCCCCACCUGCCCCCCCGGCACCCUGCAGGUCAGCCGGGCGGGCCGGUGCUGCCCCGAGUGCCACCCGGGUACGUCGCCCCCGCAAAGGAUUCUGGGA
ensembl:lncRNA